CCCCGGGCUCCGUGCGCUCCGGCCACCGCCGCCCCGGUGCUCCAUGAGGAAACCAGCCCGCGAGGUCCCAGUGACCCGAGUGGCCCGGGCGUUCUCCCCGGAUGAUUCCGGGGAGUGGGGGCUACAGUGACACCCUCCGAAGUCGGGCACGUUUUCUUCCCUCGCCUUGAAACAGCAGCUCUAAGAACCAGCCUCUGGGAAUCUGGGGCGUUUCAAGAAGAGUCUCUUUAAACAAUGUGCCUUCCCC